GUUUAUGGUGAGUUUUGUUGGUUUGCCUUCAGCUGCGUUCGGUGUUUGCUGUGCAAAUCCAUGCAAAGCCCGCUGUACCC
ncrna:Oryzias latipes (Japanese medaka) microRNA ola-mir-19b precursor (ola-mir-19b-2)